UACGUAGGGUGCAAGCGUUUGUCCGGAAUUAUUGGGCGUAAAGAGCUCGUAGGCGGUUUGUCGCGUCUGCUGUGAAACCCGGAGCUCAACUCCGGGCCUGCAGUCGAUACGGGCAAACUGGAGUGUUGCAGGGGAGACUGGAAUUCCUGGUGUAGAGGUGAAAUUCGUAGAUAUCGGGAGGAACACCGGUGGCGAAGGCGGCGACCUGGGUAGAUACUGACGCUGAGGUGCGAAAGCGUGGGGAGCAAACAGG
rnacentral:rRNA from 1 species